AUAAAAGAAAAUGUGAAGAAAUGUAAAUGUUGUAGAGUUUCUGGGUUUAAGGUUAAGCUGCUGAGAAGGAGAAUAACGGAGCUCAAAAAAUGGAAUCGAAAGCUAUUUGGUUAGGGUUUCUUCCGCCAAGACUUCAACUUUCAUCUCGAGUUUCACUCUCCCGCCCUCAUGGUUCUUCCACAUCUCCCAAAUCUGAUGUCAGACAAACCCUUGUCUGGAGCAAACCACAAGGUGUAGUUUACUUGAACCGAGGCCGUGUCCUAUGUUCUUCUCAACCUGAUAGUAAUGCUCCUCGAGCUGAGCUGUUCCGUGGAAAGUCUGGUUCGGUUUCUUUCAACGGUCUAACCCACCAGCUGGUUGAAGAAAGUAAACUUGUCUCAGCUCCGUUUCAAGAAGAAGACAAAGGUUCCCUCUUGUGGGUCUUGGCUCCUGCUGUCUUGAUAUCCUCACUGAUUCUUCCGCAGUUCUUUCUCAGUGGUGCCAUUGAAGCUACCUUUAAAAACGACACCGUUGCAGAGAUUGUUACUUCUUUCUGCUUUGAGACGGCGUUUUAUGCUGGUCUGGCGAUAUUCCUGUCUGUGACUGACCGAGUGCAGAGGCCCUACUUAGACUUCAGCUCCAAGAGAUGGGGUUUAAUCACUGGACUAAGAGGAUACCUCAUGUCCACAUUUCUGAUGAUGGGUUUGAAAGUUGUAGUCCCUGUGUUUGCUGUAUACAUGACUUGGCCAGCUCUUGGGAUGGAUGCCUUGAUUGCAGUCCUUCCUUUCUUGGUUGGAUGUGCGGUUCAACGAGGUUUCGAGGCUCAGCUUGAAAGACGCGGCUCUUCGUGUUGGCCCAUUGUUCCAAUAGUCUUUGAGGUGUAUAGGCUGUAUCAGGUGACAAGAGCAGCCACUUUUGUUCAGAGGCUGAUGUUUAUGAUGAAAGAUGCGUCAACUACUGUAGAGAUUACAGAGCGAGGAGUUGCGCUUGUUGGUUUGGUUGUGACUUUGCAGUUUCUAGCUGUUCUGUGUCUCUGGUCGCUGAUCACUUUUCUAAUGCGCCUUUUUCCUUCGAGACCUGUAGCUGAAAACUACUAAAUCAAUAGUAGUGUUUAGUGAAAGCCAUUGAGCUUUGAUUUCUGUGUUUCUUUCAGAGGAUUAACGUGUUGUAUCGAGUCAGGAAUUGCAGUGUAGGACACUUUUGAACUUCAAUCUUGAUGAGAUCUUGAUAAAAUUGGACAUCUCAA